rnacentral:lncRNA from 1 species
CUGGACUCUUGCUUUCCGGCUCCUGUAGCCUUCUUGCAAGGAAGCCUCCAAGUAUUACCAUGUCAUCGAGCAUCCAGGCUUUUGG